GCCCCAUAGAGCUCCGCCAGCUUCCGGAAGCGGGGCCCCCAGUCCGUGAGGAAGUCGAAGCUCUGCUCCGAGUCCGACGUGGCCGACUGCAGGGAGCUGAGCGAGCCGGCGACCGAGCCGUCGCCCUCGAACAUGAUUCUACUCUAAAUAUACUGUUGACCCUUGAGCAACAUGGAUUUGGACUACUGGAGUCCACUUCAUUGUGGAUUCUUUUUUGCCGGCUGGUGAACAGUGACAGCUUGACAACACUGCACAAUAAGACCCCGGUUUAUCUAAGGGAGGGAAAUGGAGUACAGUCAUAUGCCCGUUAAGAUUAUGGACUAACUUAAGGAAAUCACAGUAAUAGUUUUUAAAACCUGAAUGUGGAAUGCUGGCAAUCUAAGGAGAUGAUAGACGUUAAUGAUUAAUAUCAAUCAGGCAGUGAUAAGGACUAUCAUAGAGCUACAAGAGUUUCACAGAGAACGCAGAAGCAGGACCAGUUCAUUCUUC